ACCGCCCCGCGCCUGCACAUGCGCAGGGAGGGACCGGGGACGGGGGAGCAAAGAGCGGGAAUGGCGGGGUCCGGAUCGGGAACGGCGGGGUCGGGAACAGCGGGAUCGAGGAGCAGCGGGACCGGGAAAGGUGAAUGGUUCCUACAGGUGGAGGUGUGGUCGCACUGACACCCCGAAGGUUUCAGCUUCAUCCGCCUGCCCCAUCCACAUCUCAGCAAGGAUUUUAUCGAAGAGAUGCCACACAGACAUAGGUCAGGGCUUUGAGAGGCUUAGCUGAAGAUUUUUGAUAGGCAUGAAAGGCAUUUAGGUCUUGGACAGAGCAGAAUAGGUUUGUAAUGGUUUAUUUUAAUACUGAAGUUGAAUAUACAGUCACUGAUUAAAAGAGGAGCGAGAGCCGUAAACCUCUGCACACUUUAGUGAGCUGGGCUGGAACAUCUGUCUGAGGGUCAGCAGAGUGUUCUUGGAGUGAGUGCCUGCUACCACACUUGGGAAGUCUAAGUCGUGGUUUUCAAGACACUCACAGACUUUAGGCAGUGUUCUUUGUCUGUCUCGUUAGCCACAUUAGUACAUUAGCACCUAGAGUAAGUGUCCCUAGUAUAUCAAUUACUUAAACACUAGCAGGGUUUACAUACUUUUAAUUGACUUUUUAAAGGUAAAAACAGAUUGGGGAACUUUGUGGAAAUGCUGACAAGAAUUCUGUCAUUCCUUUCUGCUAAGCUGAAGGAGUUGUCAGCAUAGGGGAUGCGGGGCUUUUUUCUUAAAAUGUGUCAGUCCCAUCAGUGCUGAUGUGUCUUAAAUAUGUCUUGAUUUUUGGCAGCAUAAUGUGUUCCUACAAUAAUAUUGAUUUAUAAACUAAAAAAGUAAAAAAUGUUCUGUGAUUCUUC